UUAAAGAGAUUUGCAUAUAUAAACAUAAAAUAUAUUGUUUCUACAUAUCAUUUGAUUGUCAUUUGCAGUGCUUCAUGGGAGUGUAGUUUUGUCCCUUGUUAAAGCCACUAAGUAGACAGUCUUAUACCUUUGUCUUUAUUUCUGAUUUUCAAAUAUUUCUUUAUUACUUCAAAUCAACAUUUGUAUUGUUGUGAUCCACUUCGUAGCUGGCUGGUUCGGUUCAUGGCUUAUACAGUUUUUGCCUAUUGCUUGAACACUAUAGACACAUGCUUAAACACAGUGUAACCAUACCUUAAACAAAAGCGCUGCAUUGCACUUCAGUUGCAAUUCUACAACACACUUGCUCCUGCACACUACACACUAUUUCAUACAUAAUUCACUUCGUUCAUAAAUGAAAUCUCAUGGGUACCAUUGGGAAAACACACCUGUUCACAAUACAAAACACACUGGGUGAUUGAAAACACUUAGACACACACCUGAAAACACUUCUUUACAAAACUGAUCACCAAUCAGCCAACCACAAAUAGGCCUCAGUUGAGCCAUUUCGAGAACUUUGAAAGCAUAGAGGCAGAGAAAGCAAGAGGUAGAGGCAGAGAAAGAGGAAGACAAAGAGAGAGAGGUGUAGGACAUGACACUAGGACACUAUGCACAGAACAAUAUUUCAGAUGAUAUUUGAGCAACGUUGGUGGAUCAUGUGAUAAAUCAUGGCCUGACAAUGAGGGAAGCUGGGCAGAGAGUCCACCCACAUCUAAGCCGGUUCACAGUUGCAUCCAUCAUAAGGAUAUUCAGACUGGAGAACAGAAUGACUAGAAGACCUUCUGGGGUUGGACGGCAACGCCUGUUCACCCAACAGCAGGAACUUAACAUUUUGGAAAUGGUCAGAGCAAACAAUGCAAUCUGUCUCCAGCAGCUACAGGAACAAAUACUUGAAGAUAGGCAAGUAUUCAUCAACAUCAAUCGAGUAGUCAUAACCACAAUCAGACGUGUCUUGGUAAAGCUCAAAAUCACAUUGAAGCAAUUGUACAAGGUCCCAUUUGAGAGGAACUGUAUCAGGGUCAAAGGACUUCGACAAGAAUAUAUACAGAAAAUCUUGGACAUGGAUGUAGCUGCACAGCCUCAUGAAUUUAUUUACAUUGAUGAGGCUGGUUUCAACCUCAGCAAAACUGGAUGAUGGGGUCGUAAUAUAAUUGGCCAAAGGGCAAUUGUGCACCACCCGGGGCAGCGUGGGGGAAACAUCACAAUGUGUGCUGCCAUAAUCCUUCGAGGGCUACUACACCAUCAUGCCAAACUAGGUCCCUACAAUACGCAACAUAUACUCCCAUUUCUCGAUGCACUUCAUGAUGCAGUUGUACAGGACAGAUCAGAGCAGCCUAGGGUCAUUGUUGUCUGGGAUAAUGGUUCAUCAACCAUGAUCCAACCGAGACUGGUUCACCAACCAUGAUCAAUUUGAAGUUGUAUACUUGCCCCCUUACUCGCCAUUUCUAAACCCUAUCGGAGAAUUAUUUUCCUACUUGGAGAUGGCAUGUAUAUGACCACCAACCACAUGCCAGCAUGUCUCUUCUACAGGCAAUGGAAGAGGCAUGCGGAGACAUUGAGGUAAUGUCAAUCCAUGGAUGGAUUCGGGACACAAGGCGUUAUUUUCCCCGUUGCUUAGCAGGAGAAAAUAUCGCUUGUGACGUUGAUGAGAUCCUGUGGCCAGACCCAAACAGACGGCAGGAUCUGUAAUCCCACCCACGCACAAUUGGCCUGUUUUUCUGCAUUUACAGUAGUGUAUUCUGUGUUUUAUUUUUGUAUUAUUUUUGCAUUACUGCAUUUACUGUACUGUACUGUAAAGUAUAAUACCGUGAUGUGCACUAUUGAGUUGAUGUCAUUCGUAACCUUCCAGUACUUUCAUUUUUGGUUGUUGUGAAAACCUUUGUUGGAAAAAAAGAGAACAAAAACUAAGUGUUGCAUAAUUGAGCUUCACAGAAUGCUAACUGAUGAACUGAAUAAAAACAGUGAAAAUGAAAGACUGCAGUGUUUUAUAUAAAGUAGACUAGUGUGUUGCUACUGAUCUGAAAGUGUAUUCAUAUAAUGCAAAAGUGUAUCAUUUUGUCAUCAAGAGUGACAUUUUGACAAAGGAUUGCUAGGUUUUGAUAGCAG
ensembl:lncRNA